rnacentral:rRNA from 1 species
GGGUCGUAAAGCUCUUUCGCCAGGGAUGAUAAUGACAGUACCUGGAAAAGAAACCCCGGUUAACUCCGUGCCAGCAGCCGCGGUAAUACUGAGGGGGUUAGCGUUGUUCGGAAUUACUGGGCGUAAAGCGCACGUAGGCGGAUCGGAAAGUUGGGGGUGAAAUCCCGGGGCUCAACCCCGGAACUGCCUCCAAAACUGCUGGUCUAGAGUUCGAGAGAGGUGAGUGGAAUUCCGAGUGUAGAGGUGAAAUUCGUAGAUAUUCGGAGGAACACCAGUGGCGAAGGCGGCUCACUGGCUCGAUACUGACGCUGAGGUGCGAAAGUGUGGGGAGCAAACAGGAUUAGAUACCCUGGUAGUCCACACCGUAAACGAUGAAUGCCAGUCGUCGGGUAACUACUAUUCGGUGUCACACCUAACGGAUUAAGCAUUCCGCCUGGGGAGUACGGUCGC